GGGUUGUGAGGUUAAGCGACUAAGCGUACACGGUGGAUGCCCUGGCAGUCAGAGGCGAUGAAGGACGUGCUAAUCUGCGAUAAGCGUCGGUAAGGUGAUAUGAACCGUUAUAACCGGCGAUUUCCGAAUGGGGAAACCCAGUGUGUUUCGACACACUAUCAUUAACUGAAUCCAUAGGUUAAUGAGGCGAACCGGGGGAACUGAAACAUCUAAGUACCCCGAGGAAAAGAAAUCAACCGAGAUUCCCCCAGUAGCGGCGAGCGAACGGGGAGCAGCCCAGAGCCUGAAUCAGUAUGUGUGUUAGUGGAAGCGUCUGGAAAGGCGCGCGAUACAGGGUGACAGCCCCGUACACAAAAAUGCACAUAUUGUGAGCUCGAUGAGUAGGGCGGGACACGUGGUAUCCUGUCUGAAUAUGGGGGGACCAUCCUCCAAGGCUAAAUACUCCUGACUGACCGAUAGUGAACCAGUACCGUGAGGGAAAGGCGAAAAGAACCCCGGCGAGGGGAGUGAAAAAGAACCUGAAACCGUGUACGUACAAGCAGUGGGAGCACGCUUAGGCGUGUGACUGCGUACCUUUUGUAUAAUGGGUCAGCGACUUAUAUUCUGUAGCAAGGUUAACCGAAUAGGGGAGCCGAAGGGAAACCGAGUCUUAACUGGGCGUUAAGUUGCAGGGUAUAGACCCGAAACCCGGUGAUCUAGCCAUGGGCAGGUUGAAGGUUGGGUAACACUAACUGGAGGACCGAACCGACUAAUGUUGAAAAAUUAGCGGAUGACUUGUGGCUGGGGGUGAAAGGCCAAUCAAACCGGGAGAUAGCUGGUUCUCCCCGAAAGCUAUUUAGGUAGCGCCUCGUGAAUUCAUCUCCGGGGGUAGAGCACUGUUUCGGCAAGGGGGUCAUCCCGACUUACCAACCCGAUGCAAACUGCGAAUACCGGAGAAUGUUAUCACGGGAGACACACGGCGGGUGCUAACGUCCGUCGUGAAGAGGGAAACAACCCAGACCGCCAGCUAAGGUCCCAAAGUCAUGGUUAAGUGGGAAACGAUGUGGGAAGGCCCAGACAGCCAGGAUGUUGGCUUAGAAGCAGCCAUCAUUUAAAGAAAGCGUAAUAGCUCACUGGUCGAGUCGGCCUGCGCGGAAGAUGUAACGGGGCUAAACCAUGCACCGAAGCUGCGGCAGCGACACUAUGUGUUGUUGGGUAGGGGAGCGUUCUGUAAGCCUGUGAAGGUGUGCUGUGAGGCAUGCUGGAGGUAUCAGAAGUGCGAAUGCUGACAUAAGUAACGAUAAAGCGGGUGAAAAGCCCGCUCGCCGGAAGACCAAGGGUUCCUGUCCAACGUUAAUCGGGGCAGGGUGAGUCGACCCCCUAAGGCGAGGCCGAAAGGCGUAGUCGAUGGGAAACAGGUUAAUAUUCCUGUACUUGGUGUUACUGCGAAGGGGGGACGGAGAAGGCUAUGUUGGCCGGGCGACGGUUGUCCCGGUUUAAGCGUGUAGGCUGGUUUUCCAGGCAAAUCCGGAAAAUCAAGGCUGAGGCGUGAUGACGAGGCACUACGGUGCUGAAGCAACAAAUGCCCUGCUUCCAGGAAAAGCCUCUAAGCAUCAGGUAACAUCAAAUCGUACCCCAAACCGACACAGGUGGUCAGGUAGAGAAUACCAAGGCGCUUGAGAGAACUCGGGUGAAGGAACUAGGCAAAAUGGUGCCGUAACUUCGGGAGAAGGCACGCUGAUAUGUAGGUGAAGUCCCUCGCGGAUGGAGCUGAAAUCAGUCGAAGAUACCAGCUGGCUGCAACUGUUUAUUAAAAACACAGCACUGUGCAAACACGAAAGUGGACGUAUACGGUGUGACGCCUGCCCGGUGCCGGAAGGUUAAUUGAUGGGGUUAGCCGCAAGGCGAAGCUCUUGAUCGAAGCCCCGGUAAACGGCGGCCGUAACUAUAACGGUCCUAAGGUAGCGAAAUUCCUUGUCGGGUAAGUUCCGACCUGCACGAAUGGCGUAAUGAUGGCCAGGCUGUCUCCACCCGAGACUCAGUGAAAUUGAACUCGCUGUGAAGAUGCAGUGUACCCGCGGCAAGACGGAAAGACCCCGUGAACCUUUACUAUAGCUUGACACUGAACAUUGAGCCUUGAUGUGUAGGAUAGGUGGGAGGCUUUGAAGUGUGGACGCCAGUCUGCAUGGAGCCGACCUUGAAAUACCACCCUUUAAUGUUUGAUGUUCUAACGUUGACCCGUAAUCCGGGUUGCGGACAGUGUCUGGUGGGUAGUUUGACUGGGGCGGUCUCCUCCUAAAGAGUAACGGAGGAGCACGAAGGUUGGCUAAUCCUGGUCGGACAUCAGGAGGUUAGUGCAAUGGCAUAAGCCAGCUUGACUGCGAGCGUGACGGCGCGAGCAGGUGCGAAAGCAGGUCAUAGUGAUCCGGUGGUUCUGAAUGGAAGGGCCAUCGCUCAACGGAUAAAAGGUACUCCGGGGAUAACAGGCUGAUACCGCCCAAGAGUUCAUAUCGACGGCGGUGUUUGGCACCUCGAUGUCGGCUCAUCACAUCCUGGGGCUGAAGUAGGUCCCAAGGGUAUGGCUGUUCGCCAUUUAAAGUGGUACGCGAGCUGGGUUUAGAACGUCGUGAGACAGUUCGGUCCCUAUCUGCCGUGGGCGCUGGAGAACUGAGGGGGGCUGCUCCUAGUACGAGAGGACCGGAGUGGACGCAUCACUGGUGUUCGGGUUGUCAUGCCAAUGGCACUGCCCGGUAGCUAAAUGCGGAAGAGAUAAGUGCUGAAAGCAUCUAAGCACGAAACUUGCCCCGAGAUGAGUUCUCCCUGACCCUUUAAGGGUCCUGAAGGAACGUUGAAGACGACGACGUUGAUAGGCCGGGUGUGUAAGCGCAGCGAUGCGUUGAGCUAACCGGUACUAAUGAACCGUGAGGCUUAACCUUACAACGCCGAAGGUGUUU
rnacentral:rRNA from 1 species